UUGAAAAGAUUACUGUUGCUUCACUGAAUUGCCUGUGCACCUUUGUCAAAAAUCAGAAGUCAAUAAUGGUAUUUGGAGCAGAAGUAAUGAGGCAAACUGUGCCCGUUCAUGACCUCCAAGAAGCAGAUGCUAAGACAGAGUUAGACACGUGAAAGAUUUGUGGAGGAGAGUAGGAAUGUGAAAGAUGAAGGGGAAUGGAGCAGUAAGAACCUUGGGAACUGCACU
rnacentral:lncRNA from 10 species